GGGCCUGUAGCUCAGUUGGUUAGAGCGUCCGCCUGAUAAGCGGGAGGUCUCUGGUUCAAGUCCAGUCAGGCCCACCA
rnacentral:tRNA from 2 species